rnacentral:rRNA from 1 species
GAUUAGAUACCCCACUAUGCUUUGCCCUAAACAUUGAUAGUUUUUUACACCCACUAUCCGCCUGGGGACUACGAGCAAUAGCUUAAAACCCAAAGGACUUGGCGGUGCUUUAGACCCACCUAGAGGAGCCUGUUCUGAAACCGAUAACCCCCGUUCAACCUCACCUUUUCUUGUUCUCCCCGCCUAUAUACCGCCGUCGUCAGCUUACCCUAUGAAGGACCGUCAGUAAGCACAAUUGGCACAGCCCAAAACGUCAGGUCGAGGUGUAGCGUAUGGAAAGGGAAGAAAUGGGCUACAUUCCCUACCACAGGGAAUCACGAAAAAUAUCACUGAAACGUGUAUCUAGAAGGAGGAUUUAGCAGUAAGCAGAAAAUAGAGCGUUCUGCUGAAACUGGCCCUGAAGCGCGCACACACCGCCCGUCACCCCUCA